UCGAGAAUCAUUCGCAAUGGGCGAAAGCCUGACGAUGCGACGCCGUGUGAGCGAUGAAGGCCUUCGGGUUGUAAAGCUCUUUCGCCUGGGAACAAGAGAUACUGUCUAAUAAGCAGUAAAUUUGAGGGUACCAGGAUAAGAAGCACCGGCUAACUCCGUGCCAGCAGCUGCGGUAAUACGGAGGGUGCAAGCAUUAAUCGGAUUUAUUGGGCGUAAAGGGCGCGUAGGCGGUUAAGAAAGUCAGAUGUGAAAUCCCGGGGCUCAACCCCGGAACUGCAUUUGAAACUUCUUAUCUAGAGGGUUGGCGGAGAAAAUGGAAUUCCACAAGUAGCGGUGAAAUGCGUAGAUAUGUGGAAGAACACCAGUGGCGAAGGCGGUUUUCUAGCUCACUCCUGACGCUGAGGCGCGAAAGCAAGGGGAUCAAACAGGAUUAGAUACCCCCGUAGUCC
rnacentral:rRNA from 1 species